rnacentral:rRNA from 1 species
GACGAACGCUGGCGGCGUGCUUAACACAUGCAAGUCGAACGGAAAGGCCCUGCUUUUGUGGGGUGCUCGAGUGGCGAACGGGUGAGUAACACGUGAGUAACCUGCCCUUGACUUUGGGAUAACUUCAGGAAGCUGGGGCUAAUACCGGAUAGGAGCUCCUGCUGCAUGGUGGGGGUUGGAAAGUUUCGGCGGUUGGGGAUGGACUCGCGGCUUAUCAGCUUGUUGGUGGGGUAGUGGCUUACCAAGGCGUUGACGGGUAGCCGGCCUGAGAGGGUGACCGGCCACAUUGGGACUGAGAUACGGCCCAGACUCCUACGGGAGGCAGCAGUGGGGAAUAUUGCACAAUGGGCUGAAGCCUGAUGCAGCAACGCCGCGUGCGGGAUGACGGCCUUCGGGUUGUAAACCGCUUUCGCCUGUGCCGAAGCGUGAGUGACGGUAAUGGGUAAAGAAGCACCGGCUAACUACGUG